ensembl:lncRNA
GAGAGAUCUUUAACUCCCACCUCCGGCAGAGCUUCGACUGGAUCCCGAGGGAGGCUGGAGAUAUUGAGUCUGAGUGGACCAUGUUCUCCACCGCCAUUGUUGAAGCGGCCACUCUGAGCUGUGGCCGUAAGGUCUCCGGUGCCUGUCGAGGCGGCAAUCCCCGAACCCGGUGGUGGACACCGGAAGUAAGGGAUGCCGUCAAGCUGAAGAAGGAGUCCUAUCAGGCCUGGUUGGCUUGUGGGACUCCUGAGGCAGCUGACGGGUACCGAAAGGCCGAGCGGACUGCAGCCCGGGUGGUUGUGGAGGCAAAAACUGGGGCCUGGGAGGAGUUCGGUGAGGCCAUGGAGAAGGACUAUCGGCUGGCCUCGAAGAGAUUCUGGCAAACCAUCCGGCGCCUCAGGAGAGGGAAACAGUGCUCUACCAACGCUGUUUACCGUAGAGGUGGGCAGCUGUUGACCUCAACUGGGGAUGUCGUCGGCCGGUGGAAGGAGUACUUCGAGGAUCUCCUCAAUCCCGCCGUCACGUCUUCCAUUGAGGAAGCAGAGGAGGAGGGCUCAGAGGUGGACUCAUCACCCGGGCUGAAGUCACAGAGGUGGUAGAAACUCCUCGGUGGCAAGGCACCGGGGGUGGAUGAGAUCCGCCCUGAGUACCUCAAGUCUCUGGAUGUUGUGGGGCUGUCUUGGCUGACAGUACCUCCAAAUCCGAGGCCAUGUUCCUCAGUCGGAAAAGUGUGGCUUGCCCACUUCAGGUUGGUGGAGAGUGCCUGCCUCAAGUGGAGGAGUUUAAGUAUCUAGGGGUCCUGUUCACGAGUGAGGGAAGGAUGGAACGGGAGAUUGACAGACGGAUCGGUGCAGCUUCUGCAGUAAUGCGGUUGAUGUAUUGGUCUGUCGUGGUGAAGAAAGAGCUAAACCGCAAGGCGAAGCUCUCGAUUUACCGGUCAAUCUACGUUCCUACUCUCACCUAUGGUCAUGAGCUUUGGGUCAUGACCGAAAGGACAAGAUCCCGGAUACAGGCGGCCGAAAUGAGCUUUCUCCGCAGGGUGGCUGGGCGAUCCCUUAGCGAUCCCAUAUUUUUUUUAUGUUUCUCACGGGAUGGAGAUGGGCCUGGGAAAGGUAGAGAGGGGCUGUGACCUUGGUUAGGGAGGGGUGAUGGGCACUCAGAGGAAGGUGUCUGGUUUUGGGGGUCUCAGUUUAGGGAAGGGAGAGGUCUGGUUUUGGGGUUCUCACAGAUAUUUGUUUCACAGAUAUUUGUGACUGCCUAAGAAAAAUAAUAAAAGAAGGGGAGAGGGGUUGAUCAGCAAACGAUGUGUGUCUGUUAUUGGGUUUACUACCCUUAGGCUGCAUAUAAAGUGAAUUAGCCUUUUCAAAGAAGUUAUUCUUCUGAAGUAUAUUUUGAUUAAUAAAAACCAAAGUGUUUUAACAGAUGUCUAGUGACUAGAAUUUUGAGAGGGAGGUGAUCAUAAUAGAGCUCCCCCUUUUCUCUUGGGAAGGGGAUUCUUGAAACGUUUCCAUAGGUUGAGACUCAUAAGCAAUUAAGAUUCUAGCCACACCCAAGGGGUUGGAUGCAUGUUUCAAUCUUGGUAGCCUGUUUUUGAAGACAUUAGUGUAUUUGAACGGGCUUAAAAUGUUACCUAUUGCAAACGAUACAUUCUUACCAUCCGUCUGACAGACGGAUUGGUGCAGCUUCUGCAGUAAUGUGGUCAAUGUAUCGGUCUGUCGUGGUGAAGAAAGAGCUGAGCCGCAAGGCGAAGCUCUCGAUUUACCGGUCAAUCUACAUUCCUACUCUCACCGAAAGUACAAGAUCCCGGAUACAGGCGGCCGAAAUGAGCUUUCUCCACAGGGUGGCUGGGCGAUCCCUUAGGGUGAGAAGCUCGGUCACCCGGGAGGAGCUCAGAGUAGAGCCGCUGCUCCUCCACAUCGAGAGGGGUCAGCUGAGGUGGCUUGGGCAUCUGUUCCGGAUGCCUCCUGAACGCCUUACCGGGAAGGUGUUCCGGGCCCGUCCCACCGGGAGGAGACCCCGUGGAAGACCUAAGACACGCUGGACGGACUAUGUCUUCCGGCUGGCCUGGGAACGCCUCAGUGUCCCCCCGGAAGAGCUGGAGGAAGUGUCUGGGGAGAGGGAAGUCUGGGCAUCCCUGCUUAGACUGCUGCCCCCGCGACCCGGCCCCGGAUAAGUGGAAGAAGAUGAUGAUGAUGACAUUCUUACCAGUUAUACCAGGUUCCAGAGAUAUGCCUAUACAUGAAAUCAUUGAAAAACUACCAGGAUAUUUAGAGCAGGAGACGUACAUUCAUUAUGUCGUAGAUGUAGUCUGAUUGUAAAAAAUAUUAUGUGAAUAAGGCUUUAAAAAUAUUUGUUGUUUUAAUUAAAACUGUAACAUUAUGAUUUUUCAGUGGAUACAGCCCAAGCUUCCCAUAGUCUGGAUGAAUUUGAAGGGGGAUCGGAAGAUGAAAUUCUUCCAUUUUAUACGAAUAACAAUUUUGAGUCAUUAGUUAGUUCCCAUGAGCUAUACAUGCUGACAUUCCGCCUUCGCCCAAAAAAACGUGCAUGCUUAUAAAUAUUUGUUUUAAAAUUUCAGAUGUGACCGAAGUAACCCUGCAAAACAAUACACGUGUUCUAAAACAACAAUCCUUGGAUAGUUUUCUUCAACAUACUUCAUCUGUAACUAGCGAACACAUAGAUGUAGCAGUUCACAAAGAUCUACAAGAUGGCAGAGUUGAUCAACUUGGCCCGCAAAACGUCCAAACAUCCAAUGCAAGGAGGCAACAAUGGCUUGAUGAAUGCGAGUAAUGAUGUUUUAAUGCAGUUGAAAAUAUUUUUGAUACCCCUAAAGCGGCACGGGUCCUGAUUCACAACCAUUCUACAGACUGAUAACAAAUCAACUUUACAGUGCGAGACUUCCAGUGAUGAAGAAGAGCAGAGACAAUUUGGGAAUGUAUUAAAAGCUAGAGAACCUCAACUGCACAGGCCUAUGUUUGAACUGAUGACCAAUCAGUGGUGUCAGGAUAGAGUAUUCUGGAGAAAUAAGCUUCCCCAGCUCAUAUGCAAAAAAAAAAAACACACAACAGUCUGUAAAAGUCUGUAAUAUGGAACCAACAGACUAUGACACCCUGAUUGAUGAGGUAAAACCUAUGUGACAACAAGACAGAUGGACAGCAUCUUACCACACCCCUUUUUCCACUAUAAGUACUGAUGACUGUUCAGGUAUUAAGUUAGCGACUCCUUGGAUGAUUAUGUUUGUAAGCAUUUGACUGGUCUCUCUAUUUGCAAAUAAACAUAAUUAUGCCAAG